rnacentral:rRNA from 1 species
UACGGAAGGCAGCAGUGGGGAAUAUUGCACAAUGGGCGCAAGCCUGAUGCAGCCAUGCCGCGUGUAUGAAGAAGGCCUUCGGGUUGUAAAGUACUUUCAGUCGUGAGGAAGGUGUUAAGGUUAAUAACCUUAGCAAUUGACGUUAGCGACAGAAGAAGCACCGGCUAACUCCGUGCCAGCAGCCGCGGUAAUAUGGAGGGUGCGAGCGUUAAUCGGAAUUACUGGGCGUAAAGGGCACGCAGGCGGUUAAUUAAGUUGGAUGUGAAAUCCCCGGGCUUAACCUGGGAAUGGCAUUCAAGACUGGUUAGCUAGAGUCUUGUAGAGGGGGGUAGAAUUCCAUGUGUAGCGGUGAAAUGCGUAGAGAUGUGGAGGAAUACCGGUGGCGAAGGCGGCCCCUGGACAAAGACUGACGCUCAUGUGCGAAAGCGUGGGGAGCAAACAGGGAUUAGUACC